UCCCGUGUGGCUCAGUUGGUAGAGCAUGGUGUUUUCAAUGCCAGGGUUGUGGGUUCGAUUCCCACAGGGGAC
rfam:Salmo salar isolate Sally breed double haploid chromosome ssa16, whole genome shotgun sequence.